UGUAUCUAAUGCUAUAAAAUAAUUACAGCUGCUGCCUGCAAAUAAAGAAAAAACAGGUAAAGGCAGCACUGUUGAGAUGAGAAGAGAUGAAGUAACGUGAGGUGAGGGUCUCACAUUGGAUUCAAAGCCAGGUUCACCCUCCAGGUUCCCACGUGCUCUGCUGUGAGUCCAUGUCCCUGUGCCCUGUUGAAAUGUGCUUUUCUCUCAGGCGUUGCCAGUGGUCACCAGGUGGACACAGCAUUUCUGAGCAGUGAGUACCACUGCGAUGCACGGCAUAAGCCCUGCAGGGGAGGAGGAGCAAUGAAGGGGCAGACCUCAGUGUAGGAUGAGAGGAAAGGUGGUGACAGAGACGCAAGUGUAGCCUGGAAACCAAAUGGGUGUCUUCAGCUGAAGAUCCACAGGCUUGAAUAAAACCAUCACCUGCUGGCUGGAAGGCAGUGGCUGUGAUCUGUGGAUGUGCCAUGUGCAGAGCAAAGAUAACCCGAGGGGUGGCUGAGGAGGGAACUGGCCCCUUGGCUUUGAAUGGGGCUUACAAGACAAAACACAAAGGCUAAUGAUACUAGAUGAGUAAUUAAAGUACAUCGACAGUGAAUGGAUAGGGCAAGAUCAAUCCACAUCUUUUCAGUACUGUCUGGUGCAUGUAGAUGUGCUCAGAAUAAUUUUGGGAAAGGUGAAGCAGCACUCCAACAGCUAAAUAUCUUCACUUUUAUUUGUUUUAUAUGCAGUGAUCUUCCAGAAGGGGAUUCAAGGUGUCAGAGUAAUAUAGCAGAGCUUAUCUACGCGUGGUUCAGUAAAAGGUCACUAUACUGCAUCCUCCAGAGGAGAUUUAUAUCCCUCAGUAGAUGUGCAUUUUUCCUAUUGUUUGACUGUGUGUUUAUUCCUGGGGAGAACGCUGUGCUGGAGGUCAGUACAUGGUGCCUUUGGAAAUUUCUAGGUGCAGAGAAUUACUCUGCCUGCUGCAUGCAGGUUUUAUACAGUAUGGCUUCUUUCUGUAUUGGAAUGGCUUAGUAACAGCUUUCAGGCACCCAUCGCGCAUAAUGCUUUCAUAUAUAUAAUCCAACCUGUCUUUCGCAUCCUCUUUUAUAGCUCUAGAUGGUGCUUAGUCAGGCAAUUUGCACAAGGUCAUGAAGUUAAGUGGGUAAGUGAGCAUCUUCAGACCAGCAUCCUUAUUCCUUCCCGGCCCCACUUUAAACGCAGGUGGCCAAAGAGGACCAGGUUUUCCCUUUCCAGCAGACCAGUGGUUGCCUCCUGUCCCUUCCCACCCACCUUCUGCAGUGACAAAAGGGUUCUGGGGGUGCUUUGCCUCCCGUUUGGGCUCAUCCUCCUGAGUCCUGACCAAAGGCAAACACAAAGCCUUGCUCCUCUGGUGCGCUGCAAAUCAGGCUCUUAAGAUCUCAUAAAACCACUUCUAAAGCAUUCUCUAUAGGGUUGUCUGUUUAAAUAUUUAAUUUAGGGACUAGCUAAGAAUAAUUUAGCAGCUGAUUAAGAGGGAUGCCAGUUCUGCUGUUGCGGAAUUGAUAAUCCAUAGUGUACACAUGUUAUUGCUAUUGUAGCAACGUUGUGGUGUGGGUAUGAAGUAGCAGCGUUGUUUCUACCAAGCUUGGGCUGUCUGUCACUUUGAUUUUGUCAGCCUAAUGAUGAAAGUAAAUACUAUUUUAAGUACCACGCUGGAGAAUGUCUUUCGGAAUGAAACUGCCUUAUGCUAAAUCUGUUCCAGAGAAGUACAAGACGUAGCCCCGAUGGAGACUAACUCUGAGAUAGACAGGAAGUUAUCAAGAAGAGAGCAUCAGAUUAAUUUGUUAGCCACUAAAAAUAAUUGCUGCCCUGCUGUUCGCGUGGAGGAGCCUGUGUGUGAUCAAAGUGUGCUCCAGCCAGCGUGUGCUCAGCCUGCAAACUUUAUAUCCUGACCCCAGAAUGAGGCAAGGUUACAGAAGCAAAUACUGUUGGCAACCAAUGUGGCCGGUAUCCAUCCUCUGCGGUGGUUUUGUUCUGUCUUUUCACAACCAUCUUUUUGAUCAUGAUUGUGCUGUUUACCAGGUUGUUCUUUGCUGGCAUGACUUUCUUCCCGUAUAUCAGGCUGCCUUUGUCCUCAAAAGCCACGAGGUCUGAGCUUUUGUAUUUUCGAAGCGCUCCUUAUUUCCCAUCUACCAUCCAAAGAACUUCUGAUCCGCCAUCUGAUUUCAAAUCAUGUUCUGCUUCUUGUGCCUAUCAACUAUGCUGCUACCCAUAGCCACUGAGUCCUGCAGGGUGCAAGCUCCCUAAAUCAGGCUUCAGUUUCGGUAUUGGGUGUUUUGUAUUGGGUAAACCGGGAUGCAAAGAGAAAACUUGGUUAAGGUGUCAAUGGAUGCCUGUGAUGUGGAGACAUUUAUAAAGAGUUCGAAAGCCUGGGUGUAUUUCUGACCAGUUUUGGUGACUCUGGGCUUAAUGGGGCCAGAAGGACGGAUGCAAAUAUUAGGCAGGUACAAUCAGAUCCAUGUUAUUUCUACAGAUAGAAAUAAUAAGGGAAAAUUCUGGGAAAAAUGAUUGGUCAGCCCCAAACUACUGCAACGUUGUCAUUUCAAGCUAAAACUGUUCCAAUUCCUUUCAAAAGCCACAGAGAAAAAACGAGCCCUUUCAAGGUAAAAUUCCUCUUCUAAAGUGUCCGUCUAAAAUAAGGGCAGAUCAGCUGUGCUGCUCAGGGAGUGUGGGCAUCUCUGCUUUGGCAGAAGCUGGGCUGAGAUCUGCACAUGGGAGGUGCUGAUAGAAAAGGAGAGAGCCUUCUUCCCAGGGCUGAGGGGAGGGUCAGUGCUGACCACGGGUGGUGGGGAGCUGGACAAGGGGCUCCCUGCACUUCUCCCUCUUGUCCCUGUAAUCCUUAACACACAACAGCAAGCGGUUGUUGGAACCCAAACAGCCUGGGAGGAAACACAGAGCUAGGUCUUUUUCAUUUAGCCAACUACAUGGUUUGAAAACAAACAGAUGCUUUCUUCAAAACAAAUCCAGUAGAACAAUUUAUUUACAAAAUUCCCCGAGUGGAGCAGAAGUCACAUAAAAGCUUUUAGGCUGUCAACCGAAUCAAGGGCACGUUGUAUUUAGCAGAUGUUAAUAGAUAAGCCAUGGAGAGAAAAUAAGGGAAAGGAAUAAUACAUGGUACUGCACUUUUAUCUACCGAAUUUUUCACUGAUUUCUCUCCCAAACCCAACAGUGGUUGGACACAUAAUUGAAGGCUAUGUUGCAUUUACUGAUUGUUGCAUUAGUCAGAUAUAGACCAGCACUGAGUUGCUUCCGUUGGCUGCCCCAUGCACAGAGACACAGCAGCAGUGCAGGUGAGGGAGCGGAGCCUGUGGGUCAGCUCUGCUGUGCUUUGCUCAGAGGAAUGUUUCCAGCCAAGUGCCACUGUUUGUACAUUUCUUGUUGUUGUUAUGAAUUGCCAUCUCAGGAAUAUCAGAGGGGCUGCAAAGCAAGCCAGACCUCCUGUGUUAGGAGCUGUGCAAACACGUCCCAAAAGGUUGGCCCUGUUGUGUUGAUGUUGGAGUUUGCAUGGUGGUUUGGUUGGCGAUGCACUCGCAUUGAUGAGCUUUUAACCACAUGAAAAUAAUCUCCUGUCCCUGGGAAACACUGGUCCUAUGGAAAAUCCUUGUCCAAAGCAGUGGAAAAGAUGGAGUAUGGCUUUGGAAAAAUGAAGCCUAAGGCCAUCAGUAUGAAGAGGUGUAAAGCAAUACAGCAAUGAACUUUCAAGUCAGCUGCAAUUUUGGCCCUGAAUAUUUAACCACGGAAACACAAUGACUGAAUACCAUAAGUGAAGAAGUUUUCAUUAUGAGGAGCGUGUGAAAAAUUAACAGCUCUGUUGUUAAUUUCUGCCAAGACUCCUCCCCGUAUCUGGAAAUAUUUGGUCUCCUUGGAUAGACAUCAUUUUUUGGUAUUUUUCCAGGAAAGCAGCUGUGUCAGCGAGCAGUCUGCCUGCAAAUGGACUGAGCAGAUGACCAGGAACUAUUCAGCUGCUUAGACAAAACCUCUGUCUUCCUUUCCAGGACAAUUCCUACCACGGAGCUGGUUAGAUUUAUUAGUGCAGAAUUGAUUAGUCUCAGUUUGCUGCCGUGUCAUUAGAGGAAGGUGAAGGGUGUGUGAAGAUGAACUCAGGUGCUGUUUUGUUUUAUCUGAUAAAGUCUGCCAUUGCAAUCAAGGAAUGAGAUUCUCUCCCUCUCCUCCAACGUUUGUUUAUGGAUCUGAGACAAAAGCAGAGUCUGGUGCAGGAAGCACAGUGCAAUCUGAGAGCACCUCGGGUAAGGCCAGAUGUGAGAGGAUGCUUGCCUUCUGCUUUAGUUAUUUCUCUCCCACUUGGUGCUGCACACGUUUUAACUCCAUUGUAGCAAUUCACACAUCUUCAGAACAGAGUUUGUCAGAACCAGGAAAUAAGUUCCAUCAAGAGAAAAGCAAACAGGAGGAAACUCCUUUCCUGAGUUCACCCAUCAUCAUAAACGCUUCACACUUUCCUAGACUCAGAGCUCUUUAAGCACAUCAGUGUGAUGGGAAUCUUGCUUGCUGAUGACACGGGGCAUUUCCGUCAUGGACCUGAGCAGCUGCUCACUGAUGGCAGCGUUUUACUGCAGUAUUUCUCAAUAGAAAAAGAAGUGAGGAUGAAUCUGUGGCUCUGAUUCAGUAGGGAACAUGAAGAGCUGUUGAUAACUGCGGUGGAUUGGAUCCGUGCCAUGUGAAUAUGCAUUUGCCAUGAUGCUUCUGUACUGAUACGCUAGAACUACUGGGAUGGAAGGUAAGCCUGGAUAUGAGUGCCAGAUAUUCAUUUCAAGAGAAAUGUAGGCACUUGAAUCUAUGGGCAGGACAUUUAGUUCACUACCAGUCCCAAUAUUUUGUAGUAGACAGAGGCCAAUUGACUGAUGGGGAAAGGAAAUGCAUCCAACAAUGGUACUGAACGUAACCACAAGUCCCCGAUCUUUGGGUGUCUGCUUGGUUUCGUUUGUAAGGAAUAAGUCUGACUGAGAGAAUUUCUAUUAACAUUUAAAUUUAAGACUAUUAAAGCCUACUUCCCAGACUGCAGACAGUAAUAUCUAGACCGUGGUAGCACAGAAUGUCCCAGAAGGGAAUGGUGUUUGAACCAAGAAAUGUCACUGUUCAGUGGUAGAGAGAAUGAAUGUAGGGCUUUGCAGACCUGGGUUGGAAAGUUUAAGUUCUUACCUUGAAGGAUAUUUUUGAAUGUAGGCUAACAGUGGAUGGUUGUAAAGCAGCUGCCCCAAUGCCUUCAGAAGAAACACACAGUCAUAAGGGAAUUGUAGUGGGUAAGGAAAAAAUACAUCUAAUAUAUUUUGAAAUAAAAAUAAAUCCUUGGAAAUUAGAUAUGGCUGUCAAUACUCUGAGAAAAUCUCUAACCAAAUUAAUGCCAUGAUAAGUAUAUUUGUUGUGGGUUUAGUGGAUUUUACUAGGGAGGCAUGUCUAAGAAUUUGUAAACACUAUUUAUUAUAUCUGAUGGAGGGGAAAAUGUAACCAUAAGGUGGUAAAGUGUGCUUUGAGUGUGCUCUGUCUCACAAAGCAUUUUGUUAUCAAAGUCAGCACUCUUCCAAAACACACUCACCUCCAGGACAGACUUUGGGAGAAAGUCAUUCCUCUUGCAGAUGGCUUGAUGAAGUCAGACAUCACGUCAGCAGUGGAGAUGGAAAGGGGCAGAGAACAGAAGGUACCCCGACAGGGAUGGGAGCCGUACAGGAAGCAUGGUGAGGCUGUGGGGUUGGCUUUGUCCCAGUGGUCUCACUGCUGUUGCUCUGAGAAGGGAGGGAAGCUGAAGGACCUUUACAUCCUUCCAUGCCUGCCAGGGGGAUUACUUGGGCUGAGCCAAUCCAGCCAGAAAGUGGUGGUGCUCACAUACCAAGCCCUCCAGGCUACCUUCAAGAAAAGAAGCCUCUCAGUUUUUUCCUGAUACAUUUCACUUCUCCCAUAGGCUUUUCCAGGCAUCAUUUCUCUCAUGUACUUGCAAAACCCUGCAGUACUUUACCAUGUGCUGUGGACACGUGUAGCACUUAGAAGACUGAGGGCCUCUCUGUAGGUUUAAAAGGAAGAAAGGGAGAAAGAUGAAACAGAGAGAUGCUCAAGACGUGCAUGUGAACACACACACUCUACUGCACAGCACUUCUGUUCCACCAGCGUUCAGCUGUCUGUUUGCCUUCUUUCUAAUGCUUUAUUGAACCUCCUCUUAACUUUCCCCCUUAACCAACUGGUUGCUGACUCAGCUUCUCACUCUCAGUAUUCCCUUCAGCAAGCACUGUGCUUUAUGGGGAGCAGAACCCCGUUCCGUCCCAAAGGCAACGAGCAGCUUGGCAUUGGAUGAGCACAGGCUGAUUCCUAGAACUGAUUCCUACUUGUAUGCAAGUCUUCAGGGAAGGCCCUUGGUCACCUGGACCUGUGAGCAACAACUACAUUCAAGUCAGACUGCCAAGUCUUAGAAUAUUUUUGUUUUCUCCUUUCUGGUGCAAGGGCAUGUUUCUAAUUGCACUCUGUAGUUUUGAAUUCACAGUUUAAGCGAUGAAGGGAAAAUAGAGAUGCAAUGCAAUGGAGAGAUGCACAGCUUUGCCUAAGGCAGACUGCUGCAGAUGGGGAAGAGCUAAGGAGAGAAUAAAAGUGCAGGUAUUAGAGAACUGCCCAAUGAAGAGGUCAAGAAUUCCAGUUCUAAAAGGAAGGAAAGAGAUUUCUUUCUUUCCCACUUCCAAUGAGCUACCCUGCAGAUGAAUCCUGUGCAUUAAUGGUGUAUUAAUGACAACUGAGGUUUCCUUGGUGUUAUGGGUGGCAUUAUUGGGCUGAAAGCCAUUGUUGACACUGGAGGGAGGAGAGAACAUCAGGUUGUCUCCCAGAAGUGGGACUUUGGUUAUAAGGAGCAGUAUUUGUUCCCACCAGCAGGUCACACCCGACUGUCACUUGGGUGCCACUACGUUGGCCAAGUCAGCUCCUGCAUCUCUGGGAUUCUGGGGAGCUUGCACCUUUAACAUGAAGACGCCCCGGUGCAGUCUGACCAUAUAAAAUGUAAUUAUAUCAUUUCCAAAUUCAGACUGGGGAAGUCUGAAGUGCUUAAUCUCAUACUUUCUUCAUUAAUUGCAAAUUUAAUUUAUAAACAGCUGCAUGAGUUAGAAAUCCCAUCUCCUGUGAUGAAUACAGUCCAAUUAAGGUUAUAAGUAGAAAUAAUUUAUGGAAUGUGUCAGAAGCAAAAAUAGAUUUACAUAGAGCUGUAUUGAUUGAGAUGCGAACUCAUCAAUCUGGAGGAUGUUCUGGACAGUAUUCAAGGAACUUGGAGAUGAAAAAGAUGGGACGACAAAACAGAAAACGGAACAUCUUCAUUUGUAAGGCAACUAAACCAUAUCAGUGAGUCCCAGCUGCUGUAAUAAUUCCCUCCCUUCUCACACAGCUCCGCAAUACUGACAAAUCUAAAUAUGAAGAAGAAAAAUGUCUCUCGAAGGCUGUUAUUUUGCUGCCUGAAUUGUGUCAAGGAAGUGUAAAUAUAAUCACACUUUAUCCUCCAAUCUGAAAUGGAUUUCCGUGGCACAGAUCACAAUGUAGCUUGCCUUGAUUGAUAAUAACUCCCUUGUUACCAUCAGUAAUACAGCGAGGUGGGGAGAAAGCAAAAAGCAGUUCUUGCCAGAAUUGCGACGCAAUUCACUCAAUAUCCUCUGUCUUUAUUUGGCCCUGGAAGGGAAGGUAAGCUCCAAAGGCGUGCUCUGAGACACAAACCAUCCAAAGGAAAUCCCUUCUAGGAUACAGAGGCCCAAGUGACAUCAUUUGACAAACAGUGCUGCAUUAUCUCUCUUUGAGUGAUCUGUAAGAAGCUUACAGUUUGCUUGGACUUGUUAUGUGUAAGCUAAUUCAGGCUGAUCCCUCUUGGUGCCUUCUCCAGCAGUCAGCAGCAGGUUGCUACACGACUUUUGCUCCUUCUGGUCCAUGGCUGACUAUAAACACCCAUGGUCUUCCACCCCUGCCUGCUGCAACAGUGCUCCUAGGAUGGAAGUGACUGAGAGGUCCUUCUGCACCUGGCUGGUCCAGCUGCAUGCUUCGCUGCUUGCCAUGCUGCUCCGGUUUGGCCUCUCAGUUGAUUUACUUGGCAUCCAUGAACAGUGUGACUGAUAGCUUAGGAAAAGGAUGAAGGGAGGACUAGAAAGAGCUGGUGUUCUUUCUAGUCUUGUCCGGGAUCUUCUAUGCGUGGCCAUAUCCUUUUAUUCCUGAGUGCUUUGUCUCUUGGGUAGCAGCAGAACUGGCUUUUCCAAAGAAGAGUUGCACGUUAGCAGUCUAGGGACUUGGAGAGGAAAAAAGAAGGAAGGUGCUAGUGUCCCUAGCCUCCCAGCAGCUGGGCUUCACCUGGCUGUGCCAGUGUUACAAGCUAUAUAAGGCACUCUCCCAAGGAGAAAUCCACCUGAGUUGCUGCAGGAGAGCAGAUACAAGUAGGUUCCCUUCCCUCUGCAACACAACGCCAUAAAUAGGGUCAGCAUUUGAUGAAGAAAUGGCUUUGAUGAAGAUAUUGGUACAUUUGUGGCUUUCAGAGACUUACGUGUGCCCAUACAGUGCCUUUAUAGAUGAGAUCCAGACGAGAGCUCUCUCCCAGUUUUCUCUCAUCCCAGAAAAUCAAUCCCAAACCUGUUCACCUGACCAAGCAAGCUAAUUUCACCUUGAACUGGCUGCUCCAUCCAUUUCCUCUCCCUUCCCCAAGCGUGGCUGUGCAGUAACUGGCAGAGCUGUACGAGGGAGCGCAGUGUGUCUGAGGCUCUCCAGCUUGGUAACCAGCCAAAAAUGAUGCAUGUGGAGACCCCCCUCCACAGCUGUAUCCUUUUCAAAGUGAUGUUUGUAGCAGAGAGCUACAAAAGUGCUAUUAUGUUGUCUUGAGUGGCUAUGCGGGUUGCAUUCUAAGCAGAGCAGGGAUUAAAUUUUGCCAUCACUGCCCAUGAGCAAUUUGCCAUUGUGCAGCAAGCAGCUUUCAGAGCAGGUUAUUAUUGCUGUCUGCGCUGUACCAUUCUUAUUAUAUGAAACCUGAAACAGGACUCCCAACCUUGGAAGGAAGAAGAUAAUCCCUUUUCCUCUAUUGUUGGCAAGACCGUCUUAGAAGGCAGAGAAAUGCAGCCCCCCCUUCUCCUCCCUUAAUGAUUCUGUGCUUUUCUCCUUAGUGUUGUUUCUGUGUUUGCUCCUGCUGCAUUUCAAAUAACGCUGGGACUGAUACGGCUGUUCCCACUGAAUGGUUCCAGCUGAUGUAAGGCCAUGUCCUGCCCAGCGAUCUCUCUCCGUGCCCAAAUGAGGAAUGACAGCCCACUUCUGGGGACGAGGAGUUAAGUGUGAUUCGAUGAUGUCUCACAACGCCUUGAUGAUGAAGAAGACGUGAAUGAUUACAGCUCAUAGAGAUCUCACAGCUGGGGAAGAGAAUAUUGUUUGUUAGAGGGAUUGCUGUGAAACCAUUCCAUGCAAGCUGCCUUCCUGCCCUGAAUAGCAGCAAGACCCCACUAUUUCUAACCAAGGAAAGAUCUGCCUUCCCUAUAGCAUACAUCUUUUCUCUGCCUUGCUGUAGUGACUGAUUCUGGAACACCUUCAGGGUGCAACCAGGAUGAAGGGCAAUGCAUUGCAUACUGGUCUGCCCUUCAAAUAAUGGUGUGGCUUUUUGAAAAUGUGAUGGUUUAAAAAAGCAAAAAGAGGAGGAAACCUUUUCUGAUUAAAACUGACCAUAUAUAGACAGAAAAUACCAUAAAAUCAUCAAUGGAAAAGUCAGUGUUUUCUCAAGGAAAACCUUGUUUUGCAGGCUCGUGUGUCUGUAGUUCAAGUAAUGAAGAUCACUUUUACACAUCAAUUACAACACGGAAAUGAGUUCCAUGACAGGCGCACCAAAUACGGAGCAUCUUCAAACAGCAGGAGGUGCUUUGGGCGUUGGGAUGGAGAGAAAAUGGAUGGAUGUGACUGCUGUCCAUGCAGGUACCACUUGGAAAAACUGUACAGGAACAGCUUAGCAAGUGAUCUCUUCACCACGGUCUGCUUGGUGUGUCUGUUUAAGGAGAUAAAUUACAGAAGACAAGACAUGGCACAUCUUUUAUAGCAUUGUUUGUCCAGAGAGGUCUCGGAACUAUAUACUGCUUGAACUGUGUUAUCUCACCCACUGGAGAAACAUGGCUGCUGGAGCGGCUGUCCGGCCAGACUCACUCGCACCAGGCCAUUACUGAGGCUUGCAUACUGAUGGGGGAACAGAAGCAUGCCAAGUGUACGAAGCAGUGUUUGUAGCUAUUAUUGUGUCACUGCUGCAGGUAGGAUUAAUUUUGUUGUUUGCUUUACUUCUGACAAAAAGUAACUUGAAGACUAAACUCAUGAAUUAUCUAAAUUAUCUAAAUACUUUUAAAGUAGAGGCACUGGCACAGGUUGACCAGAGAGGCAAUGGAUGCCCCAUCCCUGGAGACACCCAAGGUCAGGCAGGAGGGACUCUGAGCACCUAAAGGAGUUGUAGGUGUCCCUGUGCAUUGCAGGGUGUUGGACCAGAUGGCCUUUAAGGGUCCCUUCCAACUCAAACAAUUCUAUGAUUCUAUGAAACAUGACUGAUCUUAGCAGCUUGGAUUUUAUCCCUUCUUGUUUUGCUCCUAAAUAACACAGCUGACUUCUGCUGUGCACUGGGAGAUAAACGAUGUCUGAAUGUCAUCGAAACAUUAUACAGCUCCAAAUAAAUCCCAAUAAGUUUUCUGGGAAAAGGGGCUGCAGAGGUGAGAUAUAGUACAUUUUGUGUUGCCUUGGAAAUUUAAACCCACUUACAGUAUGUCUUAUAUUUAUCCAUAUUCCAGAAAUGUAAUCGUAUUUUUGUUUUCAUGGACUUCUAUUGCUUUCCAGUGCUUUCAGUCUGCAAAUUCAACUCCAGAAGUGGAUGUCUUGUCUUAUAUAUAUCAAAUCACCUUCUGAAUCAGAACCAGAGCCUAAAUUUCUUUAUAGGCAUAAAUCUAGAGUCAUAUACGCAGCUCAGAACCAGGCUGGGGUGAAGCAAAAUGCUCAUUUAGAAGUAUUCAUCUGCCUGUAUUAGAGUGAUUUACCCAUUCCACAAGAACCAGUGUUAUUAGAAUGUAGGAGGUGUGUGCAGAUGCUGUGGAAUUUUCCAUUGCACUGUGGCGGUGCUGCUGUGUGCUUGUCCAUCCUCUGGCCAGCCUUGGAAAGGAUGUCCAGAAAACAUCAACAAAGCAGGACAAACUCCUCAGAGCCCAUUUUACAGCUGCCUCUCUUUCAAAUAGAGGAAUUUCUUACGAAAGGAUUUUCCCAUCUCUGUCCCUUUCUGUAUAGCCUUCUUCACUGUCUUCCUCUGGGCUCAGUCCUGUACGUAUGAAAUUAUACAAUGGCUCUUAAGCUAUUUCACUGGACGGUGGAAGGGGGAAAAUACCCCAAAACUGAAUUGAGCAGAGUGCCCACUGGAUCUUCUCAUCCUUUUUUCACUGCUGUAAUUUCCACUGUUUCUACUGAUGAGUCUUAUGUGUUUGUUCUUGAAAAUGGAAGAAUAUGGUCUCUAUUUGGCUGGCUGAAAUGAAGAAGUAGUCUUUCUCAUCUUCUUGGCUUGCAUGAGCCCCUCUCAUCCUCUUUGCCUGGGUGUUGUCUCAAUCCUUGUUAAAUCCAUUAAACCCGGUGAGAGAUUCCAUUUUAAAGGGCCUGAAUGCAUCACUCUACACCGAUCUGGGAGAUAUAAUUACUAGAACAAAUAUCACUCAUGUAAUCUUCUUUAAAGACCAGAAAUCUAUCUGUAAGACACUAAUGUGGCCCAAUAGGGAUGGUUUUACUGCAGAGAAUUAGGAGGAAAAAGCCCUCCUUGGAAUCCAGAAAAUACAUAAAUAUCAAAAAUGAUUGUUAAAUCCUUUCUGAAGUUGACACAAAGAUUGAUGGUUAAUAAACAUGCGCUCUUAAUUUGCAUUGCAGAAUUUUCAGUGAAAACUACAGGCAACCGUCAAAAUAAUCAGUUCAUUAUUUUGCUUGCCUUCCUUUUUCCUAUUGUCUACCCUUGGGUAAGAGACUGUAUAUCAAUAAAGGAAUAGUGAGAAACUCUGCUGAAGACAAGAGAGAUAGCAUUGCAGUAGGUAUCCUUGGUCCCCUGGACAUAUGCCAGGGUAUAUUCUUCACUAAAAUGUUUUCCCUUGUUUCUGUAUGUUUUAUUAGCAAUAUGUGUC
rnacentral:lncRNA from 1 species